UCUGGCGUCCUCAGGGCGUCCGAGUUGUAAUCUAUAGAGGCGUUUUCCGUGCCGGACCGUGUCCAAGUUCCUUGGAACAGGAUAUCAAAGAGGGUGACAAUCCCGUACUUGACACGACGACCGGUGCUCUGUGAUACGUCUUCUACGAGUCGAGUUGUUUGGGAAUGCAGCUCAAAAUGGGUGGUGAGUUCCAUCUAAAGCUAAAUAUUGGCGAGAGACCGAUAGCGAACAAGUACCGUGAGGGAAAGAUGAAAAGCACUUUGGAAAGAGAGUUAAACAGUACGUGAAAUUGUUGAAAGGGAAACGAUUGAAGUCAGUCGUGACCGAGAGGCUCAGCCGGUUCUGCCGGUGUAUUCCCCUCGGUCGGGUCAACAUCAGUUUUGUCCGGUGGAUAAGGACGGUAGGAAGGUGGCACCCUCGGGUGUGUUAUAGCCUGCCGUCGCAUACAUCGGGUGAGACUGAGGAACGCAGCUCGCCUUUAUGGCCGGGGUUCGCCCACGUCCGAGCUUAGGAUGUUGACAUAAUGGCUUUAAACGACCCGUCUUGAAACACG
rnacentral:rRNA from 1 species